UCCCCUCCGCAGGCUGCCGGCCCCAGGCUGUGCUGGGCGAGUCUAUCUCCCAAAGGCUCACCCUCAAGCACCACUAGGAGC
rnacentral:pre_miRNA from 1 species